rnacentral:rRNA from 1 species
GAUGAACGCUGGCGGCGUGCCUAAUACAUGCAAGUCGAGCGAACGGACGAGAAGCUUGCUUUUCUGAUGUUAGCGGCGGACGGGUGAGUAACACGUGGAUAACCUACCUAUAAGACUGGGAUAACUUCGGGAAACCGGAGCUAAUACCGGAUAAUAUUUUGAACCGCAUGGUUCAAAAGUGAAAGACGGUCUUGCUGUCACUUAUAGAUGGAUCCGCGCUGCAUUAGCUAGUUGGUAAGGUAACGGCUUACCAAGGCAACGAUGCAUAGCCGACCUGAGAGGGCGAUCGGCCACACUGGAACUGAGACACGGUCCAGACUCCUACGGGAGGCAGCAGUAGGGAAUCUUCCGCAAUGGGCGAAAGCCUGACGGAGCAACGCCGCGUGAGUGAUGAAGGUCUUCGGAUCGUAAAACUCUGUUAUUAGGGAAGAACAUAUGUGUAAGUAACUGUGCACAUCUUGACGGUACCUAAUCAGAAAGCCACGGCUAACUACGUGCCAGCAGCCGCGGUAAUACGUAGGUGGCAAGUGUUAUCCGGAAUUAUUGGGCGUAAAGCGCGCGUAGGCGGUUUUUUAAGUCUGAUGUGAAAGCCCACGGCUCAACCGUGGAGGGUCAUUGGAAACUGGAAAACUUGAGUGCAGAAGAGGAAAGUGGAAUUCCAUGUGUAGCGGUGAAAUGCGCAGAGAUGUGGAGGAACACCAGUGGCGAAGGCGACUUUCUGGUCUGUAACUGACGCUGAUGUGCGAAAGCGUGGGGAUCAAACAGGAUUAGAUACCCUGGUAGUCCACGCCGUAAACGAUGAGUGCUAAGUGUUAGGGGGUUUCCGCCCCUUAGUGCUGCAGCUAACGCAUUAAGCACUCCGCCUGGGGAGUACGACCGCAAGGUUGAAACUCAAAGGAAUUGACGGGGGCCCGCACAAGCGGUGGAGCAUGUGGUUUAAUUCGAAGCAACGCGAAGAACCUUACCAAAUCUUGACAUCCUUUGACAACUCUAGAGAUAGAGCCUUCCCCUUCGGGGGACAAAGUGACAGGUGGUGCAUGGUUGUCGUCAGCUCGUGUCGUGAGAUGUUGGGUUAAGUCCCGCAACGAGCGCAACCCUUAAGCUUAGUUGCCAUCAUUAAGUUGGGCACUCUAAGUUGACUGCCGGUGACAAACCGGAGGAAGGUGGGGAUGACGUCAAAUCAUCAUGCCCCUUAUGAUUUGGGCUACACACGUGCUACAAUGGACAAUACAAAGGGCAGCGAAACCGCGAGGUCAAGCAAAUCCCAUAAAGUUGUUCUCAGUUCGGAUUGUAGUCUGCAACUCGACUACAUGAAGCUGGAAUCGCUAGUAAUCGUAGAUCAGCAUGCUACGGUGAAUACGUUCCCGGGUCU